CAAGUCGAGCGGUAACAGAGAGUAGCUUGCUACUUUGCUGACGAGCGGCGGACGGGUGAGUAAUGCUUGGGAACAUGCCUUGAGGUGGGGGACAACAGUUGGAAACGACUGCUAAUACCGCAUAAUGUCUACGGACCAAAGGGGGCUUCGGCUCUCGCCUUUAGAUUGGCCCAAGUGGGAUUAGCUAGUUGGUGAGGUAAUGGCUCACCAAGGCGACGAUCCCUAGCUGGUUUGAGAGGAUGAUCAGCCACACUGGGACUGAGACACGGCCCAGACUCCUACGGGAGGCAGCAGUGGGGAAUAUUGCACAAUGGGCGCAAGCCUGAUGCAGCCAUGCCGCGUGUGUGAAGAAGGCCUUCGGGUUGUAAAGCACUUUCAGUCAGGAGGAAAGGUUAGUAGUUAAUACCUGCUAGCUGUGACGUUACUGACAGAAGAAGCACCGGCUAACUCCGUGCCAGCAGCCGCGGUAAUACGGAGGGUGCGAGCGUUAAUCGGAAUUACUGGGCGUAAAGCGUACGCAGGCGGUUUGUUAAGCGAGAUGUGAAAGCCCCGGGCUCAACCUGGGAACUGCAUUUCGAACUGGCAAACUAGAGUGUGAUAGAGGGUGGUAGAAUUUCAGGUGUAGCGGUGAAAUGCGUAGAGAUCUGAAGGAAUACCGAUGGCGAAGGCAGCCACCUGGGUCAACACUGACGCUCAUGUACGAAAGCGUGGGGAGCAAACGGGAUUAGAUACCCCGGUAGUCCACGCCGUAAACGAUGUCUACUAGAAGCUCGGAGCCUCGGUUCUGUUUUUCAAAGCUAACGCAUUAAGUAGACCGCCUGGGGAGUACGGCCGCAAGGUUAAAACUCAAAUGAAUUGACGGGGGCCCGCACAAGCGGUGGAGCAUGUGGUUUAUUUCGAUGCAACGCGAAGAACCUUACCUACACUUGACAUACAGAGAACUUACCAGAGAUGG
rnacentral:rRNA from 1 species